rnacentral:rRNA from 1 species
CYUGAGAAACCCAAAAGAUCGAAUGGGGAGAUUCAUCGUCAGCUCAUUUUGUAUAUGUGUAAGUUAUGAUGCGGGUUACUACUUGUAGUAUUGCCUGCACAUUCUUGUAUAUUUAGUUGCAAGAUGUUGUCGGCGUGCACUUCUCCCCUAGUAGGACGUCGCGACCUGUUGGGUGUCGGUCUACGGCCCAAGUGAUAGCCUUUAAUGUAAUUUAAAAAACAUUGAAGAUCCUUGGUGUUUUCUGACCGGCUACUUGGCAGUAUUCGUACGGUAUUUAGCCGCUAAAUUUAUUAAGCGUCCAUAUCCRUCACAAGCGAGGCUAAUUUACUGAUAGUACGGACCUAGUGCCGUCGUUGGUAUUGGCCAGCUGUUGGUUGAUGGUAUUCUAGGACUGGCUAAAAUUAAUUACCGGUCGGCGAUGCUACUGCUUUGGGUACUUUCAGGACCCGUCUUGAAACACGGACCAAGGAGUCUAACAUGUGCGCAAGUCAUUGGGAUUUUUUUAAAAUUAAACCUAAAGGCGCAAUGUNNNUAAAGGUCGACCUUGCGUCAACCGA